rnacentral:tRNA from 1 species
AGCCCCGUGGUGUAGCGGUUAAUCAUACCAGCCUUUGGAGCUGGUGACGGCGGUUCGAGUCCGCCCGGGGCUA